AGCAAAUACAAUACAACCACUCCACUACAUCUUCUCCAUUUUUAUGUCUGCUGUAAAAUUAAAAAUCUCUUAACCUCUCAUCUCCUCUCUUUUCCACUAAUCUACAUUAUUCCUUAAUUUCUUGUGUCAAGAGCUCUGAUUUUCAAGAAUGAGCAGCCAAACUCAAGCAGAUUCAUAUCCUCCUGCAACCUCUCCAAAUCCAUAUGUAGCUCCAUCACCAGCAAAUUAUCCAACAAAAAAUGGUAAUCACUCUCCUCCUCAUUCUCCAAGCCAAACUAAGUCCAAGGGAGAUGGGUUUUGGAGGGGAUGUUGUGCUGGCUGGUGUUGCUACUGCUGUCUGGAUGCUUGCUUUUGAGGGUUUAUUGCUAACCCACAUAUGUACUUUACUUCCAAUUCUUCCGAUGUAUACCUUUAUUUUUAUGUUUGUGCAGACGCAUACAUGCAUAUAUUAUAGAUAUGUUAUUUAUAGAGUCUGUUCAGUAAUAUUCAUUGUUUCAAUAAAUACUUUUGGCACAGUAUGUGCCAGCACAACUACAGUACAAUGUGGUGAAAAGAUGACAAUAUCAGAAAAAAUUUAAACUAUGUUUCUAUUUUA